rnacentral:rRNA from 1 species
CCUACGGGAGGCAGCAGUGGGGAAUAUUGGGCAAUGGUCGCAAGACUGAACCAGCAAAGCCGCGUGAAGGAAGAAGGCACUCAGGUUGUAAACCUCUUUUUGCCGGGACGAAACAAGUGACGGUACCUGCCGAAUAAGCCACGGCUAACUACGUGCAAGCAGCCGCGGUGAUACGUAGGUGGCAAGCGUUAUGCGGAUUUACUGGGUGUAAAGGGCGUGUAGGCGGGAAAGCAAGCCAGAUGUGAAAACCAUGGGCUCAACCUGUGGCCUGCAUUUGAAACUGUUUUUCUUGAGUACUGGAGAGGCAGACGGAAUUCCUAGUGGAGCGGUGAAAUGCGGAGAUAUUAGGAGGAACACCAGUGGCGAAGGCGGUCUGCUGGACAGCAACUGACGCUGAGGCGCGAAAGCGUGGGGAGCAAACAGGAUUAGAUACCCCAGUAGGC